rnacentral:lncRNA from 1 species
AGAAACACUCUUUUUGGAGAUUCAGCAAAAGGACAUUUGGGAGAUCAUUCAGUCCCAUAGGAAAAAAAAUAUAUAUAAAUAUAUGUAUACAUAUCUGCAGCUGGUUGGAAAAACUCUUUAUGGAGAAUCCAUGAGGGGACAUUUGGGAGCCCACUGUGGCCUUUGGUGAAAAACAGAAUGUCCUCAGGUUGGAAACACUCUUUCUGGAGAAUACACGAGGGGACAUUUGGGAGCCCAUUGAGGCCUAUGGAGAAAAACAAAAUAUCCCCAGAUAAAAAUUAGAGAGAAGCUAUCUGUGAAACUGCUUUGUGAUGUGUGGAUUCAUGUCACAGAGUGAGACCUUUCUUUUGAUUCUGCAGGUUGGAAACCCUCUUUUUGGAGGAUCUGCAAAGGGCCAUUUGCGAUCCCAUUGAAGCCUAAGGGGAAAAACUGAAUAUCCCAAGAUAAAAACUAUAAAAAAGCUUUCUGUGAGACUGCUUUGUCAUGUGUGGAUUCAUCUCACAGACUUAAAGCCUUCUUUUGAUUCAGCAGCUUAGAAACACUCUUUUCAGAGAAUCUACAAAGGGAAAUUUGCAAGCCCAUUGAGCUCUUGGAGAGAAAGAGAAUAUUCCCAGAUAAAAACUAGAAAGAAGCUCUCUGUGAAACUUCUGUGUGAUAUGUGGAUUCAACACAGAGUUAAACCUUUCUAUUGAUUCACCAGUUGAAAACACUCUAUUUGGAGAAAGUUAGAACAGACAUUUGGGAUCCUAAUGAGGUCUAUGGGGAAAAACUGAAUAUCCCCAGAUAUAAACUAGAAAGAAGCUAUCUGUGAAACUGCUUUGUGAUGCGUGGAUUCAUCUCACAGAGUUAAAUCUUUCUUUUGAUUCAGCAGUUUGAAAACACAAUAUUUCAAGAAUCUGCAAAGGGACAUUGGGAGCUAACUGAUGCCUCUGUGAUAAAACACAACAUCCAUAGAUAAAAACUAGAAAGAAGCUAUCUGUGAAUCUACUUUGUGAUAUGUGGAUGCAUCUCACAGAGUUAAACCUUUCUUUUAAUUCAUCAGGUUGGGAGCCCUCUUUUUGGAGAAUUGGUAAAGAAACACUUGGGAUCCCAUUGAGGCCUGUGAAGAAAAACAGACUAUCCCCAGCUAAACACUAGAAAGAAGCUAUCUGUGAAGCUGCUUUGUGAUGGGUGGAUUCAUUUCACAGAGAUAAAACUUUAUAUUGACUAAGUAGGUUGGAAAUCCUCUUAUUGGAGAAUCUGUGAAGAAACAUUUCAGAUCCCAUUGAGGCCUAAGGAAAAAAACUGAAUAUCCUCAGAUAAAAACUAGAAAGAAGCUAUUGGUGAAACUACUUUGUGAUGUGUGGAUUCAUCUCACAGAGUUAAAACUUUUUAUUGAUUCAGCAAGUUGAAACACUCUUUUUGUAGAAAUGCAAAGCAUUGUUUCAGAGCCCAUUGUGUCCUAUGGAGAAAAACCGAAUAUCACCAGUUAAAAUCUAGAAAUAAACUAUCGGAGAAACUG